rnacentral:misc_RNA from 1 species
GAUGAAGAACGUAGCGAAAUGCGAUAAGUAAUGUGAAUUGCAGAAUUCAGUGAAUCAUCGAAUCUUUGAACGCACAUUGCGCCCGCCAGUAUUCUGGCGGGCAUGCCUGUCCGAGCGCCAUUUCAACCCUCGAACCCCUCCGGGGGGUCGGCGUUGGGGAUCGGCACUUACCUGCCGGCCCCGAAAUACAGUGGCGGUCUCGCCGCAGCCUCUCCUGCGCAGUAGUUUGCACACUCGCACCGGGAGCGCGGCGCGUCCACGGCCGUAAAACAACCCAAACUUCUGAAAUGUUGACCUCGGAUCAGGUAGGAAUACCCGCUGAACUUAAGCAUAUCAAUAAGCGGAGG